rnacentral:rRNA from 1 species
UACGUAGGGGGCAAGCGUUGGUCCGGAUUUACUGGGCGUAAAGAGCGUGUAGGCGGCCAAACAGGUCCGUUGUGAAAACUGGAGGCUCAACUUCCAGACGUCGACGGAACCGUGUGGCUAGAGUCCGGAAGAGGAGAGUGGAAUCCUGGUGUAGCGGUGAAAUGCGCAGAUAUCAGGAAGAACACCCGGUGGCGAAGGCGGUUCUCUGGGACGGUACUGACGCUGAGACGCGAAAGCGUGGGGAGCAAACAGG